rnacentral:rRNA from 1 species
GACGAACGCUGGCGGCGUGCUUAACACAUGCAAGUCGAACGGAAAGGCCCUGCUUUUGUGGGGUGCUCGAGUGGCGAACGGGUGAGUAACACGUGAGUAACCUGCCCUUGACUUUGGGAUAACUUCAGGAAACUGGGGCUAAUACCGGAUAGGAGCUCCUGCUGCAUGGUGGGGGUUGGAAAGUUUCGGCGGUUGGGGAUGGACUCGCGGCUUAUCAGCUUGUUGGUGGGGUAGUGGCUUACCAAGGCUUUGACGGGUCGCCGGCCUGGGAGGGUGACCGGCAACAUUGGGACUGGGAUACGGCCCAGACUCCUAGGGGAGGCAGCAGGGGGGAAUAUUGAAAAAUGGGGGGAAGCCUGAUGCAGCAACGCCGCGGGGGGGAUGACGGCCUUCGGGUUGUAAACCGUUUUCGCCUGUGACGAAGCGUGAGUGACGGUAAUGGGUAAAGAAGCACCGGCUAACUACGUG